rnacentral:misc_RNA from 1 species
GAUGAAGAACGUAGCGAACUGCGAUAAGUAAUGUGAAUUGCAGAAUUCAGUGAAUCAUCGAGUCUUUGAACGCACAUUGCGCCCCCUGGCAUUCCGGGGGGCAUGCCUGUCCGAGCGUCAUUGCUGCCCUUCAAGCCCGGCUUGUGUGUUGGGUCGUCGUCCCCCCCGGGGGACGGGCCCGAAAGGCAGCGGCGGUACCGCGUCCGGUCCUCGAGCGUAUGGGGCUUUGUCACCCGCUCGAUUAGGGCCGGCCGGGCGCCAGCCGGCGUCUCCAACCUUCUAUUUUACCAGGUUGACCUCGGAUCAGGUAGGGAUACCCGCUGAACUUAAGCAUAUCAAUAAGCGGAGGA